CCCUUAGAUGUUCUGGGCCGCACGCGCGCUACACUGACGCAUUCAACGAGUCUCCUUGGCCGAGAGGCCUGGGUAAUCUUGUAAACGUGCGUCGUGAUAGGGAUAGAUUAUUGCAAUUAUUAAUCUUGAACGAGGAAUUCCUAGUAAACGCAGAUCAUCAAUCUGCAUUGAUUACGUCCCUGCCCUUUGUACACACCGCCCGUCGCACCUACCGAUUGGAUGGUCCGGUGAGGCCUCGGGAUUGUGGCCGGUGCAUUCAUUUGUGUCGGUUGCGAGAACUUGUCCAAACCUUAUCAUCUAGAGGAAGGUGAAGUCGUAACA
rnacentral:rRNA from 1 species